GAGAUGGCUCAGUGGUUAAGAACACUGGCUACUUGCUCUUCCAGAGGUCCUGAGUUCAAUUCCCAGCAAUCACA
rnacentral:tRNA from 1 species